rnacentral:rRNA from 1 species
AGGUGCGAUCAUACCAGCACUAAUGCACCGGAUCCCAUCAGAACUCCGCAGUUAAGCGUGCUUGGGCGAGAGUAGUAUUAGGAUGGGUGACCUCCUGGGAAGUCCUCGUGUUGCACCU